rnacentral:lncRNA from 1 species
CUGGUGCAAGAGGAACAAGGGCACCGACUCGACAGAGAAGAGGUUUGUCCCAGCAGCAGGAGGUAUGCUUUGGGCCGUUUCAUGUUGUCGCGAGAUUCUUUCUGAAGUUCUUGUCCUGUUUAUCUGAUCAAUGUUUUCCCAGUUCCCGAAAUCGCACCGGGGCUGGAGGUUCAAGCUGCUGCAUCUGCUAUCCGGCAUGGUCUCCAUCGCCGCCUGCAACCAAUUCCAGGCCCGCACCAGUCAGUACUCAGUAGCUGAACUCUGCGUGGUAUGCCGGCACGCUCCAGCGGAAACUUCCUUGUUUGUGAAUCACGUCUGUCUAUGUAAUUACUGCCACCACAUCGUCGUGUCCGAUCCCUCCUCGACGCCAUGCCUGCUCUGUCUCGCUCAACUCUUUNNNNNNNNNNNNNNNNNNNNNNNNNNNNNNNNNNUUUCCCGGCCGGCAGUGAGCGACUAUGGUAAAUUACACUUGAUUUUUCCUUAUAAAUUGCAUUUCAUCUUGUUAUGGUCGGGUCAAAGAAUUGGAAAGAUCCACCUACAUAUUUCAAUGAAAAAAAUGCAAGCCUAGGCCAAGGCAGAGUUGCAUGCACCAUUUCUACACCAUUUGGCUUGUGUACCACUAUGGCACCAUACAAUACCUUGCAUCAUUGCCUAGGAGCAAGCAAACAUGGCGACUCCAUCUGCUGGGGUAACAAUUUCAGCUGCACGCCUAUGCUGUCGAGUAGGAGGAUAAUGCUUGAGUAUUAAUCAAAACCACCCAGCAAGAUGCUAAAUACACGAAAACUUCAUCGAGGCCUUGCACCUUGUCUUCAUAUAAUGAGAUAACUUAACUUGGUGCUAUUUACUACUCCCUCCGUCCCAAAAUAACUGUCUCAACUUUGUACUAGCUCUAGUAUAAAAUUAUACUAAGCUUAAAACACUUAUUUUGGGACGGAGGGAGUAGUUGCUUGGAGGUCCGGAUAAAUUGUCGAAUGAUACUAAUUGAUAAGUUACGACGCCUGACUGGUUUCAUGAUAUAAGCAAGUUGUAUUUGCUGGUUCAAUUCUAUUAGCCGAAAACUUCCAUCUGCUAACUAUAUAUGUCUUGUUUGUUGUUUCUACAGGCUUCAGUUUAGAAGACAGUUUUGCUGUUCAGGUUAUCUACAAUCGACCAUGUAUCCAGGCUCCCAUUGCCUUAUGUUUCUGCAUUUUGUCAACCAAGAUCAUGCGCUGCUCAUUGUCCUAGCCCUGGUCACAUGAAGUUUGAGCUCAUGCUAGAUUCUGUUAUAAGGCUCGUACUGUUUAUUUCUUGGUAGCUUUCUGAACUCAAUCAGCAGUGCUACGCCUGAACUGAUUAACCUGCUCAAGUCCUAUGUUUAUUUAGUCGUCUCUGCGACAACUUAUGCACUAAGAUGCUGCGCAUCCCGUUCUAUCAAGUAACUUUCGUCACUUCUGGAAGGCUGUUUGCCUGUUUUGGUUGG